AGAACGAACGCUGGCGGCAUGCCUAAUACAUGCAAGUCGAACGAACACUUCGGUGUUAGUGGCGCACGGGUGCGUAACGCGUGGGAAUCUGCCCUUGGGUUCGGAAUAACAGUUGGAAACGACUGCUAAUACCGGAUGAUGACGAAAGUCCAAAGAUUUAUCGCCCAGGGAUGAGCCCGCGUAGGAUUAGCUAGUUGGUGAGGUAAAGGCUCACCAAGGCGACGAUCCUUAGCUGGUCUGAGAGGAUGAUCAGCCA
rnacentral:rRNA from 1 species